rnacentral:rRNA from 1 species
AUUGAACGCUGGCGGCAGGCCUAACACAUGCAAGUCGAGCGGUAGAGAGGUGCUUGCAUCUCUUGAGAGCGGCGGACGGGUGAGUAAUGCCUAGGAAUCUGCCUAGUGGUGGGGGAUAACGUUCGGAAACGGACGCUAAAUACCGCAUACGUCCUACGGGAGAAAGCGGGGGAUCUUCGGACCUCGCGCCAUUAGAUGAGCCUAGGUCGGAUUAGCUAGUUGGUGAGGUAAUGGCUCACCAAGGCGACGAUCCGUAACUGGUCUGAGAGGAUGAUCAGUCA